UACGAAGGGGGCUAGCGUUGCUCGGAAUCACUGGGCGUAAAGCGCACGUAGGCGGAUCUUUAAGUCAGGGGUGAAAUCCUGGAGCUCAACUCCAGAACUGCCUUUGAUACUGGGGAUCUCGAGUCCGGAAGAGGUGAGUGGAACUCCGAGUGUAGAGGUGAAAUUCGUAGAUAUUCGGAAGAACACCAGUGGCGAAGGCGGCUCACUGGCCCGGUACUGACGCUGAGAUACGAAAGCGUGGGGAGCAAACAGG
rnacentral:rRNA from 1 species